rnacentral:snoRNA from 1 species
ACUCCCGUUCUUGGCAGGCCCGGGCCCCCCUGUGCCCGGGCCUGUGAUGUCUGGAGGUAGAGCAGCGACUCUUUCACAGGC